rnacentral:lncRNA from 1 species
UCGGCUGAACCCUUCGCCAUCCUAGAGAUGUCACUGCCCCUCACCCCUCAGAGUAGCAGAGAGCUUGGAGAAGCCCUGACAGCAUCCUGUACACAAGGAUGCGGGAGAUUCCUCAUCUUGACUGCAGCCUGCUCUCCCUUCGACAGAGAGAAGCAAAGACCUCGUGCCACAGGGCCCAGUGGAGACAAGGUGAUGCCUCAUGCGGGACUAAAGGAAGAGUGGACACACAACUGCCUGGGCUGGUGAUCACCUUCAUUAACACCAAAUCCUCUCAACUGGGAUCAGUGCGUGGUGAGCGGCUCCUCUGAACCCUUCCAGCGUCGGGAACAGCCUGGACUGGCAGAAACACCCACAAACGUAAUUAGCCCAGGAAGCCGAGCUGCGUCACCCUCACCCUCACACGGGCUCUGAAGCUCCGGUGUUUGCGGCUUCGUGCUCAUUCCCAUGCUUAUUUUUUAAGGCUUCCUGUCUGGUUGCCUGUCUUGAGGUGUCCCUGGGGACUCAAAUGAUGUGUGUCGACAUUCUCCUGAAGUUACAGAAGUCCUUCAUGACCCAAAUUUAAAAUAUCAGCUCCGAAAAAAAGAACCAAAAAAAUAAAAUAAAAUAAAAUAU